rnacentral:ncRNA from 1 species
UAACAUGAGAGUUUGAUCCUGGCUCAGGAUGAACGCUGGCGGCGUGCUUAACACAUGCAAGUCGAACGAAGCAACUUAUUACGAUCCCUUCGGGGUG